AUUGAACGCUGGCGGCAGGCCUAACACAUGCAAGUCGAGCGGAGCGGCGGACGGGUGAGUAAUGCCUAGGAAUCUGCCUGGGAGUGGGGGAUAACGUCCGGAAACGGGCGCUAAUACCGCAUACUAUCAGAUGAGCCUAGGUCGGCUUAGCUAGUUGGUGGGGUAAAGGCCUACAAAGGCUACGAUCGGUAACUGGUCUGAGAGGAUGAUCAGUCACUCUGGAACUGAUACACGGUGCAGACUCGUACGGGAGGCAGCAGUGGGGAAUUUUGGACACUGGGCGAGAGCCUGUGCCAGCCGUGUCGCGUGUGUGAAGAAGGUCGUCGGAUUGUAAAGCACGUUAAGUUGGGAGGCGUUACCAACAGAAUAAGCACCGGCUAACUUCGUGCCAGCAGCCGCGGUAAUAC
rnacentral:rRNA from 1 species